rnacentral:tRNA from 1 species
GCCCGGUUAGCUCAAUCGGUAGAGGUUAGUGGCUAUCAAUCACCUAAUGUCAAUCCUUCAUAUACUAACAUCCUUAACAGCGUGAGACUCUUAAUCUCAAGGUUGCGGGUUCGACCCCCGCAUCGGGCU